rnacentral:tRNA from 1 species
GGGGACUUAGCUCAGUGGUAAAGCGCUUGCUUAGCAAGCAAGCACAAGGCCCUG